rnacentral:rRNA from 1 species
UACGGGGGGAGCAAGCGUUGUUCGGAUUUACUGGGCGUAAAGGGCGCGUAGGCGGCGCAACAAGUCACUUGUGAAAUCUCCGGGCUUAACCCGGAGCGGUCAAGUGAUACUGUCGUGCUAGAGUGCAGAAGGGGCAACCGGAAUUCUUGGUGUAGCGGUGAAAUGCGUAGAUAUCAAGAGGAACACCUGAGGUGAAGACGGGUUGCUGGGCUGACACUGACGCUGGAGGCGCGAAAGCUAGGGUAGCAAACGGG